rnacentral:rRNA from 1 species
AACGAACGCUGGCGGCAUGCCUAACACAUGCAAGUCGAACGAGACCUUCGGGUCUAGUGGCGCACGGGUGCGUAACGCGUGGGAAUCUGCCCUUGGGUUCGGAAUAACAGUUAGAAAUGACUGCUAAUACCGGAUGAUGACGUAAGUCCAAAGAUUUAUCGCCCAAGGAUGAGCCCGCGUAGGAUUAGCUUGUUGGUGAGGUAAAGGCUCACCAAGGCGACGAUCCUUAGCUGGUCUGAGAGGAUGAUCAGCCACCAUGGGACUGAGCCGCGGCCCAGACUCCUACGGGAGGCAGAAGUGGGGAAUAUUGGAAAAUGGGCGGAAGCCUGAUCCAGCAAUGCCGCGUGAGUGAUGAAGGCCGUAGGGUUGUAAAGCUCUUUUACCCGGGAUGAUCAUGACAGUACCGGGAGAAUAAGCCCCGGCUAAGUCCGUGCCAGCCGCCGCGGUAAGAC